CCUGUAUGAAGUAGAUCAUUUCCCUCGACUUGAUUUCGUGCGUGCAGACAUCAUUGUAGCGUAUGGAAUUUAGGCUUGGAUUCUCGCUCGUAAAUGGGCCAGUAUUGUGCCCCCGAGUAUCACUUGUUGUGGCGGUGUGAACGUCAAGUGCAUACGGCCUUGUAAACCGCGCCGACGAGCUAACAGACAGCAAUAGAAAGGCGGGCUCCGUGGAAAUUACCACAGCCCUCUCAAAUUGAUAGAUUUAAUAAGAGUGCCUUUGAUCUAGCCGACAACACUUGAUUGAAU